rnacentral:rRNA from 1 species
AGGACGAACGCUGGCGGCGUGCUUAACACAUGCAAGUCGAGCGGAAAGGCCCUUCGGGGUACUCGAGCGGCGAACGGGUGAGUAACACGUGAGCAAUCUGCCCUUAGCUUCGGGAUAGCUCCGGGAAACCGGAAUUAAUACCGAAUACGACCACGGCCGACAUCAGCUGUGGUGGAAAGUUUUUCGGCUAGGGAUGAGCUCGCGGCCUAUCAGCUUGUUGGUGAGGUAACGGCUCACCAAGGCGACGACGGGUAGCCGG